rnacentral:tRNA from 1 species
GCAUUGGUGGUUCAAUGGUAGAAUUCUUGCCUUCCAUGCAGGAGACCCAGGUUCGAUUCCUGGCCGAUGCA